AUACCGAUAGCAAACAAGUACAGUGAUGGAAAUUUGAAAAGAACUUUGAAGAGAGAGUUAAUAGUACGUGAAACUGUAUGGUAGUAAACGCAGCCUUCCUCGAAGUUCUUCACGUGGAUCCAGCCUAAGUGUCGGGCGGCGCCAUGCGGCAGUUAACCGAGCAGCAAUGCCGGCUGCUGUGUGUUCUUGCUGUUGGCACGCGGGUGCAUCUCCAUGUGUUGUUACUGUAGGAACCGUUGGGACUGGACCAAAGGCCUGGUGCAAAGUUUCGGCUGGCUGUCGUGGCCGGCUGAAGUGCUGCCGGUGUCCUGGCUUCGGACCCGACGGGCAGUCAUGCCCGACUUGUAUAGCAAGCAGCCUUGCUGUUGCGGUCGGGCAUUCCCUACAGAGUAGGUCGGCGGAGGCUGCGACCCGUCUUGAAACACGGAC
rnacentral:rRNA from 1 species